rfam:Serratia sp. M24T3 contig018, whole genome shotgun sequence.
CUCGGUUUGUAGUACAGACCUUAUGAAAGCAAUUUUAGUAAAGUAGUUCACUGUAUUAGCGUUAUCCUCACUAGAUAUCUCUUCACCGCGAAUUUCCUUCUUUAGUGCCCCAUAAGUAUCACAACUAAAAAAACAGACCUCCCUCGCCCCUAUGGCGGCUAAAUAUUGAAAGGAAAUUAUUAUGUCUACUAAAAUGACUGGUUUGGUGAAGUGGUUUGACGCUGGUAAAGGUUUUGGUUUUAUUUCUCCUGCAGACGGCAGCAAAGAUGUGUUCGUUCACUUCUCUGCAAUCCAGAGCAGCGAUUUCAAAACUCUUGAUGAAGGUCAAAAAGUUGAGUUCUCUAUCGAGAACGGCGCUAAAGGCCCAUCAGCAGUAAACGUUGUUGCACUGUAAUAA